GAUGAACGCUGGCGGCGUGCCUAAUACAUGCAAGUCGAGCGAACGGACGAGAAGCUUGCUUCUCUGAUGUUAGCGGCGGACGGGUGAGUAACACGUGGAUCACCUACCUAUAUGACUGGGAUAACUUCGGGAAACCGGAGCUAAUACCGGAUGAUAUUUUGAACCGCAUGGUGCAAAAGAGAAAGACGGUCUUGCUGUCACUUAUAGAUGGAUCCGCGCUGCAUGAGCUAGUUGGUAAGGUAACGGCCUACCAAGGCAACGAUGCAUAGCCGACCUGAGAGGGUGAUAGGCGACACUGGAACUGAGACACGGUCAAGACUCCUACGGGAGGCAGCAGUAGGGAAUCGUCGGCAAUGGGCGAAAGCCUGACGGAGCAACGCCGAGUGAGUGAUGAAGGUCUUCGGAUCGUAAAACUCUGUUAUUAGGGAAGAACAUAUGUGUAAGUAACUGUGCACAUCUUGACGGUACCUAAUCAGAAAGCCACGGCUAACUACGUG
rnacentral:rRNA from 1 species